rnacentral:lncRNA from 1 species
CCUGUCCCGAACGCAGAUCAGCGGGUCUCUGCUCCUUUGGUGGGCCUAAAGCCAUGGAGGGAAACUCACGCAAGGUGCCCGGACACCCCACAGCCCGACCCCCGAGGGUGGGUAAUGCUUUCUUGGGGGAGCCUGGUGAGGGCAGAGGGGGGCGGGCUGGUUCCUGCCUGGGGCCUCCACCCUCAGACCCGCGGAGGCACAGGUGUUAUUUAAAAAUCGUUAAAAAGAAAAAAAAAAAAAAACAAAAAAACAAACACAACAGAACACAUUUAAAUAGGUAUCCAAGA